rnacentral:rRNA from 1 species
GAUGAACGCUGGCGGCGUGCCUAAUACAUGCAAGUCGAGCGAACAGACGAGGAGCUUGCUCCUCUGACGUUAGCGGCUGACGGGCGAGUAACACGUGGAUAACCUACCUAUAAGACUGGGAUAACUUCGGGAAACCGGAGCUACUACCGGAUAAUAUAUUGAACCGCAUGGUUCAAUAGUGAAUGACGGUUUUGCUGUCACUUAUAGAUGGAUCCGCGCCGCAUUAGCUAGUUGGUAAGGUAACGGCUUACCAAGGCAACGAUGCGUAGCCGACCUGAGAGGGUGAUCGGCCACACUGGAACUGAGACACGGUCCAGACUCCUACGGGAGGCAGCAGUAGGGAAUCUUCGGCAAUGGGCGAAAGCCUGACGGAGCAACGCCGCGUGAGUGAUGAAGGUCUUCGGAUCGUAAAACUCUGUUAUUAGGGAAGAACAAAUGUGUAAGUAACUAUGCACGUCUUGACGGUACCUAAUCAGAAAGCCACGGCUAACUACGUG